UGGUUGUUUCAUUUGAUAUGAAGUCCAAUGAAUUCUGAGAUGGUGAUUCAUUCAUAUUGGAAUUAUUUUGAAGCCUCAUGACUAUGUGUUAGUUCACUUUGCACUAAUUGAAAUUUGUGUAUCUCAAUCUGCCAUUUGUAAGUGAUUUGACUUGUAAAUUCUUUGGAAUUUUGAAGAUGGGGUUUAUAAUUUUAAGCUUACUAAUGAACGAGAAUCAUUAUUUUUGUGAUGCUUUAUCCUUUUGAAUGACAUAAUGAUGACAAUGUUUGUGGGUAUCAUUCCUGGAAAACCCUCACGAGACUUCACUCGUCCUCUAGGGAAUUCCUAGGGGUUUAAAAGGCUUGUUGCAUAUGCUAAAUGCAAUCGUACAUCCCACGAAAGAUGGAUUUAUCUUUUUGUUUUUCAGUUUAUUUUCUGUUUUGUAUUGCUAAGGGACUAGCAAUAUGUAAGUUUGGGGGUGUGAUAAGCGCCGAAUGUUGCACAUUCAAGCCCCUUAAUUUGCAUAUGUUAAUUCCUUAGCGUUGUUAUUUGUUUGAUUUUGUUUUGUUUUUGUGUUUUCAGGUUAUAAAUAAAGAUGCAAUUAAUUCCAUUGAUUUUGGGCUUAAAAGAACACUUUGAGAAGACCUAGAAGAUAUGGUUAAACUUAACCAAUCAUGGUUAAGUUUAAUCAAAUAAAGAAAAUGAUUAAUUCGGAAUUUUUCAAAUUGGAGUCAAAAUCGGAUUGGAUUCAAAUUUGGAUUCUGCAUACAUUUCGGUUCAUGUGAGUACUAGGGGGAAGACUAGAGCACGGAGGUCCAGACUUGUAGUAUGGUCAUCACCGGCGCAUGGGUCAACAUCGUGCGACCAUGAUGAUAGCGAGCCACAGGUCGACGUUGCUAUGCUUAUGAGGCAGCAACCGGGGUAUAGACCAGUACUUCCAGAUCAUGUAGAAGGGCAGUCCCCUGUACCUAGUCCAUACAUUCCGACAGGACUGACCCAGCUGGGGUAUCAGUAUCAGCCGUCCCCGCAUGCCUACUCCGCUGCCGACAAUGAGUGAGUUAGGAUUGUGUUCUCAUGGCCAUGUAGAGCGGCUCUUCCCCCACAGUAGCACAUGUGUGGACGAUAGUGAGACACAGGAACCGAAGGACAUGGAUGAUGGGACAAGUGCCACGCAUGACUCGUAGCCCGAGGACCCUACUCUACAAGUGUUGGGCAGUAACCAGGUCUGGACUAUAAGCAUUAAUCGAGAUGGAAGCACCCAUAUUCAAGUGUUGACCAUUAAAGCCUCAAACAAGACGUGGGAAAUCCCCAAUGGGCAAAUGGUCGUGUGCGAGUACAAUAAUGCGUGGCAGCCCGUAGGAUUUAGUGGUUUGAAAUUUAGAAGGACGACUGGUAAUAUUAUAAGGAGUGGGAAUUAUGUUAGAUUACGGGGACGACUGGACGAAGGUAUCGCAACGUACGAAGGAAGAUAUAUGAGAGGCCUUGAUGGUGGACUUCUACAUCCUGCCUGAGUUCGAUCUCGUUGCCGUAAAACGGGAUGCGUUCCAAGAUAUGGGCGUGAAGCUGAAGAGUUGGAGACACUCAGUAAAAGAUGCUCUUAAAAUUCAGCCGGGUGAUACUCUUAAAACCGUGAAGGCGAGAAUGGGGCAAGAUUUCGUUGACAACUAUGACCCCUUCGACUUGGACGUGUUGUUGGAUAAAUGAUGUGACCUGAAAAAUUAGGUAGGUCACGAGUUGUAUUACUAUUUUGUGUAGUUUCAUUAUGUGUUAGGGCUGAUAUAUUAAGAAUGUUAAUUGUGUAAGAGUAUGCUACGUAUAUAAAGGGAUUGCGAGCAUUGAACAACAUGCCUCACUGCACCGGGUCGAUGUUAAGUGCCAAAAUAUUCAUAUUUUAACCCUUAAA